rnacentral:rRNA from 1 species
ACAUGCCUACAACAUAGCGUUAAUGCACCAGAUCCCAUUAGAACUCCACAGUUAAGUGCACUCAGGAUAGAGUAGUACUGGGUUGGGUGACCGCCCGGGAAGUCAUAGUGUUUUACAUGCC